GAUGAACGCUGGCGGCGUGCUUAACACAUGCAAGUCGAACGAAGCACUUUAUUUGAUUUCCUUCGGGACUGAUUAUUUUGUGACUGAGUGGCGGACGGGUGAGUAACGCGUGGGUAACCUGCCUUGUACAGGGGGAUAACAGUUGGAAACGGCUGCUAAUACCGCAUAAGCGCACAGCAUCGCAUGAUGCAGUGUGAAAAACUCCGGUGGUAUAAGAUGGACCCGCGUUGGAUUAGCUAGUUGGUGAGGUAACGGCCCACCAAGGCGACGAUCCAUAGCCGACCUGAGAGGGUGACCGGCCACAUUGGGACUGAGACACGGCCCAAACUCCUACGGGAGGCAGCAGUGGGGAAUAUUGCACAAUGGGCGAAAGCCUGAUGCAGCGACGCCGCGUGAGCGAAGAAGUAUUUCGGUAUGUAAAGCUCUAUCAGCAGGGAAGAUAAUAACGGUACCUGACUAAGAAGCACCGGCUAAAUACGUG
rnacentral:rRNA from 1 species